UACGUAGGGUGCGAGCGUUAUCCGGAAUUACUGGGUGUAAAGGGUGCGUAGGCGGCUAUUUAAGUCAGAUGUGAAAACUCAGGGCUCAACCUUGAGGCUGCAUCUGAAACUGAGUAGCUAGAGUGUGGGAGAGGAAAGUGGAAUUCCGAGUGUAGCGGUGAAAUGCGUAGAGAUUCGGAGGAACACCAGUAGCGAAGGCGGCUUUCUGGACCAUAACUGACGCUGAGGCACGAAAGCGUGGGGAGCAAAC
rnacentral:rRNA from 1 species